AGAACGAACGCUGGCGGCAGGCCUCAAACAUGCAAGUCUAGGGGUGUAGCAAUACACACCGGCGGACGGGUGCGUAACACGUGGGAAUGUACUUACUGGUUCGGAACAACUGCGGGAAACUGCAGCUAAUACCGAAUGAGCCCGAAAGGGGAAGAUUUAUCGCCAGUAAAUCAGCCCGCGUUCGAUUAGCUAGUUGGUGAGGUAAUGGCUCACCAAGGCUCCGAUCGAUAGCUGUUCUGAGAGGAAGAUCAGCCACACUGGGACUGAGACACGGCCCAGACUCCUACGGGAGGCAGCAGUUGGGAAUCUUGGACAUGGGGGAAACCCUGAUCCAGCCAUGCCGCGUGAGUGAUGAAGGCCUUCGGGUUGUAAAGCUCUUUUACCCGGGAAGAUAAUGACUGUACCGGGAGAAUAAGCUCCGGCUAACUUCGUGCCAGCAGCCGC
rnacentral:rRNA from 1 species